rnacentral:misc_RNA from 1 species
GUAGGUGAACCUGCGGAAGGAUCAUUACUAGAGCAAGGGAGAGGCAUAUUCGUAUGCCGUGGCCUCACGGCCCUCCCGAACUCCACCCUUGAAUAAAUUACCUUUGUUGCUUUGGCGGGUCGCCUCGUGCCAGCGGCUUCGGCUGCUGAGUGCCCGCCAGAGGACCACAACUCUUGUUUUUAGUGAUGUCUGAGUACUAUAUAAUAGUUAAAACUUUCAACAACGGAUCUCUUGGUUCUG